rnacentral:rRNA from 1 species
AGAGUUUGAUCAUGGCUCAGGACGAACGCUGGCGGCGUGCUUAACACAUGCAAGUCGAACGGAAAGGCCCUUCGGGGUACUCGAGUGGCGAACGGGUGAGUAACACGUGGGUAAUCUGCCCUGCACAUCGGGAUAAGCCUGGGAAACUGGGUCUAAUACCGAAUAGGACCACAGGACACAUGUCCUGUGGUGGAAAGCUUUUGCGGUGUGGGAUGGGCCCGCGGCCUAUCAGCUUGUUGGUGGGGUGAUGGCCUACCAAGGCGACGACGGGUAGCCGGCCUGAGAGGGUGUCCGGCCACACUGGGACUGAGAUACGGCCCAGACUCCUACGGGAGGCAGCAGUGGGGAAUAUUGCACAAUGGGCGCAAGCCUGAUGCAGCGACGCCGCGUGAGGGAUGACGGCCUUCGGGUUGUAAACCUCUUUCAGUAGGGACGAAGCGCAAGUGACGGUACCUAUAGAAGAAGCACCGGCCAACUACGUGCCAGCAGCCGCGGUAAUACGUAGGGUGCGAGCGUUGUCCGGAAUUACUGGGCGUAAAGAGCUCGUAGGUGGUUUGUCGCGUUGUUCGUGAAAUCUCACGGCUUAACUGUGAGCGUGCGGGCGAUACGGGCAGACUUGAGUACUGCAGGGGAGACUGGAAUUCCUGGUGUAGCGGUGGAAUGCGCAGAUAUCAGGAGGAACACCGGUGGCGAAGGCGGGUCUCUGGGCAGUAACUGACGCUGAGGAGCGAAAGCGUGGGGAGCGAACAGGAUUAGAUACCCCGGUAGUCCAA